GACGAACGCUGGCGGCGUGCCUAAUACAUGCAAGUCGAACGAGAGCGACCGGUGCUUGCACUGGUCAAUCUAGUGGCGAACGGGUGAGUAACACGUGGGUAACCUGCCCAUCAGAGGGGGAUAACAUCCGGAAACGGAUGCUAAAACCGCAUAGGUCUUCGAACCGCAUGGUUUGAAGAGGAAAAGAGGCGCAAGCUUCUGCUGAUGGAUGGACCCGCGGUGCAUUAGCUAGUUGGUGAGGUAACGGCUCAGCAAGGCCGUGAUGCAUAGCCGACCUGAGAGGGUGAUCGGCCACAUUGGGAAUGAGACACGGCCCAAACGCCUACGGGAGGCAGCAGUAGGGAAUCUUCCGCAAUGGACGCAAGUCUGACGGAGCAACGCCGCGUGAGUGAAGAAGGUGUUCGGAUCGUAAAACUCUGUUGUUAGAGAAGAACAAGUGCUAGAGUAACUGUUAGCGCCUUGACGGUAUCUAACCAGAAAGCCACGGCUAACUACGUG
rnacentral:rRNA from 1 species